AGCAGCCGCGGUAAUUCCAGCUCCAAUAGCGUAUAUUAAAGUUGUUGCAGUUAAAAAGCUCGUAGUUGAACUUCGGGAUUUGCCCAUUGGUCAGGCUUAACUGUCUGCACUGGUGUGACGAGUUCCUACCUUCUGAGGAAUCUCCAUGUCAUUCAGUUGGUGUGGGGGGAAAUCAGGACUGUUACUUUGAGAAAAUUAGAGUGUUUAAAGCAGGCAUCCGUCUGAAUACAUUAGCAUGGAAUAAUAAAAUAGGACGGUUUGGUUCUAUUUUGUUGGUUUCUAGGAUCACCGUAAUGAUUAAUAGGGAUAGUUGGGGGCAUUAGUAUUCAAUUGUCAGAGGUGAAAUUCUUGGAUUUAUUGAAGACUAACUACUGCGAAAGCAUUUGCCAAGGAUGUUUUCAUUAAUCAAGAACGAAAGUUAGGGGAUCGAAGACGAUCAGAUACCGUCGUAGUCUUAACCAUAAACUAUGCCGACUAGGGAUCGGACGAAGUUAAUUUUUUAANGUACUCGUUCGGCACC
rnacentral:rRNA from 1 species